UACGAAGGGGGCUAGCGUUGUUCGGAAUCACUGGGCGUAAAGCGCACGUAGGCGGACUUUUAAGUCAGGGGUGAAAUCCCAGGGCUCAACCCUGGAACUGCCCUUGAUACUGAAAGUCUCGAGUCCGGGAGAGGUGAGUGGAACUCCGAGUGUAGAGGUGAAAUUCGUAGAUAUUCGGAAGAACACCAGUGGCGAAGGCGGCUCACUGGCCCGGUACUGACGCUGAGGUGCGAAAGCGUGGGGAGCAAACAGG
rnacentral:rRNA from 1 species